AACAGGAUUAGAUACCCUGGUAGUCCAUGCCGUAAACGAUGUCUACUAGCCGUUGGGGCCUUUGAGGCUUUAGUGGCGCAGCUAACGCGAUAAGUAGACCGCCUGGGGAGUACGGUCGCAAGACUAAAACUCAAAUGAAUUGACGGGGGCCCGCACAAGCGGUGGAGCAUGUGGUUUAAUUCGAUGCAACGCGAAGAACCUUACCUGGUCUUGACAUAGUAAGAACUUUCCAGAGAUGGAUUGGUGCCUUCGGGAACUUACAUACAGGUGCUGCAUGGCUGUCGUCAGCUCGUGUCGUGAGAUGUUGGGUUAAGUCCCGCAACGAGCGCAACCCUUUUCCUUAUUUGCCAGCACUUCGGGUGGGAACUUUAAGGAUACUGCCAGUGACAAACUGGAGGAAGGCGGGGACGACGUCAAGUCAUCAUGGCCCUUACGACCAGGGCUACACACGUGCUACAAUGGUCGGUACAAAGGGUUGCUACCUAGCGAUAGGAUGCUAAUCUCAAAAAGCCGAUCGUAGUCCGGAUUGGAGUCUGCAACUCGACUCCAUGAAGUCGGAAUCGCUAGUAACCGCGGAUCAGAAUGCCGCGGUGAAUACGUUCCCGGGCCUUGUACACACCGCCCGUCACACCAUGGGAGUUUGUUGCACCAGAAGUAGGUAGUCUAACCGUAAGGAGGACGCUUACCACGGUGUGGCCGAUGACUGGGGUGAAGUCGUAACAAGGUAACC
rnacentral:rRNA from 1 species